GGCCGUGUGGCAAAAUGGUUACUGCGUUGCUUUCCGAUCAUUUGGUAGGCAGAGACUGUGGGUUCGAGUCCCACCAUGGUCG